rnacentral:rRNA from 1 species
AUACGGAGGAUCCAAGCGUUAUCCGGAUUUAUUGGGUUUAAAGGGUGCGUAGGCGGACUGGUAAGUCAGCUGUGAAAGUUUGCGGCUUAACCGUAAAAUUGCAGUUGAUACUGUCAGUCUUGAGUGUGCAUGAGGUGGGCGGAAUUUGUGGUGUAGCGGUGAAAUGCUUAGAUAUCACGAGGAACUCCAAUUGCGAAGGCAGCUCACUGGGGCAUAACUGGCGCUGAUGCACGAAGGUGUGGGUAUCAAACAGGAUUAGAUACCCUGGUAGUCCACACAGUAAACUAUGAAUACUCGCUGUUUGCGAUAUACAGUAAGCGGCCAAGCGAAAGCAUUAAGUAUUCCACCUGGGGAGUACGCCGGCAACGGUGAAACUCAAAUGAAUUGACGGGG